CCCGACGCGCACGCGAGAGAAACGUCAUUUAUUUUCUUUUCAAGAAUCGCACGCUUGUUGCGGGUACCUAGUGUUGAAGAAUAAUUAAAAUUUUUAUCGAGAUUUUUAUAUACAAAUUCCGUUUGUAUGUAUAAAAUUUUAGUAGUUUAUUGUGUACUACAAAUAAAUCCGCCUGUAAGCUCGGCUUUGUUUACCGGCAAGUUGCGUGCUGCUGUGCUGUAGCCUCGACGGGAACUUUGUCAUCCCGAUGGACAACCGGAUCACGAUUUUCGAUUGAAAAUCAAAAAAUCGCGCCCCCGUCGCUGGAAAAUUACCGCACUGGAUCUUGGAUGGUGAUUGAAAUCUGGAUGAAGCACAUUUGCGGUGGAUUUGUUGCAAGCGACGACGAUCCAGAUCAUGAUUUCUUGGAGCGCAUUCACCGGAUCAUGUCUAUAUAUCCAUAGAGCGAGAAAAUUGAACGUGAACGGCAAGCGUUACACCGGGGGAUGGUCGGUGUUCGUACGGUUUGCUGGAGGACGACCAAUGGGGUUUGGCGAAACGUCGAUUCCAGGGGCCCGCAUGCAGCAAGGUCUCGAUGCAUGUUAGGUAGGUGUAGUUUUUUCGAGUUUAACGUGCCUGCACCCUCCAUGGUCGAUUCACCGCAACCGACGGAGUUUUCGGAACUGACUAGAUAGUAGAUUAUCAAAGAAGAAAUGCUGAUGGCAUCUCCGCUAGAAACGUCGGUCGAACCGAAAACUUGCUAUAGCAAAAGUUUGCUCUCAGCGCCCGAGUACGGCUGCGGGACGACGACCGUAUCAAGUUAUGGUUGGAAAUUUUGUACAGAGUUAGAUACUGUACGUGCCUAACUCUAUACAAAACUUCAAAUCAAUCGGUUUGAAAUUGACUUAGUUAUAGCGGCAAGUGCCCAAAUGGUACAAGACCCUAGGUUGGCAAGUAUUUGUGAGAUCAUCACGCAGUUAAAUGCUGUUUUAUACCAUUUGUUUAUUGCUAUUAUUUUGACUAAGAUUAAGGUUGAAUUCUUCUUCAUGGGCUUACGUCCCCACUGGGACACAUCCUGCUUCUCAACUGUUGAGCACUUCCACAGUUACUAACUGAGAGAUUCCUCCGCCAAUAGCAUUUUGCAUGCGUAUAUCGUGUGACAAGCAUGGAGAUAUCUAAUGCCCAAGGAAUAGGCUCCUAAAGUCCUAUCGGGAUUCUUGUUUUAAACCACAAUAUAUGGUUCAAGAGUACAUAUUUACUCAUUUUUUGACGUUUUUAUUAACCGUAGUUGAAAAUCUAGGUGCUGCGGAUAGAAGCGGUUUUAUUUUUCAAGCUAGCCAAUACACACCUGCACACUCCCAUCACACAGCUUGUAAACACGCACGAGCGUUCAAUUUUCUUGCAACCACCUCUCUCAGCGCGAUUGUCAAACACGCUGUUGCGACGCUGUUCGGAAAUGGUAAACAUGAUCAAUCCACCAUUAGGCUAUUCCAAUUUCCACCUAUUCCAAUUUUGUUCUCGUGUUCAAAGUUCAUUGUUUUCCAUUCGUGAUGGAAAUUUUGAUGGAUAGUUGUUACAAAAUCAGCUAAAAUUGACCAAUCCAAAUUCCUGUGUGGUAGUGGUUUGUGUUCAGAUUUCCCGUGUUAAUCUAUCUGUAAGAACUUUGAAAACAUCUUUUGUUCUCACGUAGGGGGUUGUGGGGCAAGAUGGCCACCCUAAGCUUAGGCGCCUUGGGAGCAUAUACUUUCAUUAGAAUAUGGCUAUUUAACACUUAUUCCCUUUGUUUCAUGUCUUUUCUAUCUUAUUAACACAAAAAAGCAUUUUAGUUUGCACUACCAUUGCAAAAUAAAUUCAUUUGAAAAAUGUUACUUUCGACAUAGAAUUUUUGCCAUAUGGGGCAAGAUGGCCACCCCAUCGGGGCAAGACGACCACAGAGCUAAAUUUUUACAAUAAGUAUGUUUUAAUCCCUAAGCAACGUUCAAUAAACCAAGGUCAAAUCAUCCGCAACGCUUUGCCCACAGAUGGUGUGGUAUUUGCCACCAUUUUCUUUAUGAUAAUGUUUGAAAUAAAAUUGAUAGAAAUUUAUUUGGAAAUGUUC